rnacentral:rRNA from 1 species
UACAGAGGGGGCAAGCGUUGUUCGGAAUUACUGGGCGUAAAGGGCGCGUAGGCGGCCGGAUAAGUCUGACGUGAAAUCCCUCGGCCCCAACCGGGGAACUGCGUUUGAAACUGUUCGGCUUGAGUCCGGGAGAGGGGUAGUGGAAGUUCCCCAGUGUAGCGGUGAAAUGCGUAGAUAUUGGGAGGAACACCGGUGGCGAAGGCGGCUACCUGGACCGGUACUGACGCUGAGG